ACUAAGGUGUCACAGUGGUUGAGAGCUUGGCUGCUAACCAAGAGGUCAGCAGUUUGAAUCCUUAGAA
rnacentral:tRNA from 1 species